AAGACAAUGUUGAAUCACACCU
rnacentral:snRNA from 1 species